CUAUUCUGUUAAAAGACGUUCAUGUUAUGGCAACAUUCCAGUUUUAGUGUACCUUUAAAUUCCGUUCUUCUGGUGUAUUGUCAAUUAUGGGAAUUACAAGCUCCUCGUCAUAUCUAAUAGAAAAACAAAAUUUUCUUUUUAGCUGCCAAGCUUUGCGUUGCGUUGCGUUGCGUUGCGUUGCGUUGCGUUGCGUUGCGUUGCGCUGCAUUGCAUUGCAUUGCUGCAUCAGGGUUUCAGACUAAGCCAGCGGCUGCCGGAGUUCCGCCCGCUACUUGAACUUUUACCGCCGGCUACUUGAAUAUUUACCGCCGGCUACUUUUCGUCUGGUCACAGAAAAAAAAUUCUAUACAAAGGUACAAGCGAACCAACACGAUGUUUG